AACGAACGCUGGCGGCAUGCCUAACACAUGCAAGUCGAACGAGACCUUCGGGUCUAGUGGCGCACGGGUGCGUAACGCGUGGGAACCUGCCCUUAGGUUCGGAAUAACUCCCCGAAAGGGGUGCUAAUACCGGAUAAUGUCUUCGGACCAAAGAUUUAUCGCCUUUGGAUGGGCCCGCGUUGGAUUAGCUAGUUGGUAGGGUAAAAGCCUACCAAGGCGACGAUCCAUAGCUGGUCUGAGAGGAUGAUCAGCCACACUGGGACUGAGACACGGCCCAGACUCCUACGGGAGGCAGCAGUAGGGAAUAUUGGACAAUGGGCGAAAGCCUGAUCCAGCAAUGCCGCGGGAGUGAUGAAGGCCUUAGGGUUGUAAAGCUCUUUUACCCGGGAUGAUAAUGACAGUACCGGGAGAAUAAGCUCCGGCUAACUCCGUG
rnacentral:rRNA from 1 species